CUCAGUUUGUCCUUACAUAGAUGGGCAGCUGGAUGUUAGGGAAGAACAGGGACAGAAAAUGGAUUCCAUCCAGUGGCUUUCUAAAAAUUCUCCAUUGUUAUCAGCCACUGAGAAUGUGGGAUUGUUUGUUAUCACAGCGUUACUUAGUCUACACUGACUAAUACAGAGGCACUUUGAGAAUCUGAUGGAAGUUCAGACCACAAGACAACUGUGUAUUCAUGCGAAAUUAAGAAUCUCUCAGCUUUAAUGUCUUGAGAUUUCACUGUUUCUGAGAUCCCUGAUGCCCCACAGCCUCCUCUUCUCAGCCUUGGAAUCUGAGGCACCUGGGUUGUAAGUGGUGCUGCAUCAGGGUUCACAAACGUUCACAAGGCUGGGAUGUGGCAGGGGGGAGCUGACCUUGACACUGCGGAGCAAGGCCCACGUGGGCAAAUGAGUCAUGAGCUGAGAGGAAAGAGCUUGAGCCUGAGCUUGUCUUUUUUUUUCUUUUUAUGAUGAUUUUGAGUCUGAGCUUGCUUGCCAGAUGCUUUCACUAGCCUCAGCUUGUUGCGGAUGCUUUCUCCUGCCAGCUACUUUAUAGCCCCUCCUGUGUGACAGCAUCUUGCCAUCAAAGAGCUGCAGAAGAAGGGGUGCUUGUUGCUAUUGUGAGCAAACACUGCAUAAACAAUCAGCUCACAUGUGUGUCCCAGAGCAUAUGACCAAUGACCUGGAGAACUCUCAGGCUGUGGGGUGGAGAGAAGGCCAUUCUGAGGUCAACUGAAACCUCACUUGAGGGGCAGUUCCGUAUAUGGGAAUGAGGAGAGAGUCAUGGCCACAGCCACAGGGCCGGGGAGAGAGUCAUAACUGCCAGACGGAGCUGAGGACAGAGGGGCUUCAGCAGCACGAACAGUCCACACUCAGCUUGAGUUACUCUUGAACCCUCUCUGGUACACAUAUUUCUCCCUGGCUGGAAGGCUGAGUGCUCCAGGGCCAACUGUGAGGUCAGACAGCCACCCAGGGAUGUCUCUGACCACUCAAGGCUGGGCUGGCUUUAGGGACCUGCUUAAGCAGAACACGGUAGAAGUGACGGACUGGGACGUAAGAAACCUUGAGAAUUUCACCUGGCCCUCGCUGUCUCUGGGAGCCCUGAGCCAUCAUAGAAGUCCUUCCUGUAUUGAAGAUCCCCAAGACCUCCAUUACCGGAAAGGGCCUGUGCCGAUACUCAGACCAAGAGUCCAAACUGAGCUCAGUCUGCCAACUCGCCGUGCCACGAUGCCAGAGGCGUCUGUGAAUGAGGCCCUUCUAGACCCGCUCAUGCUCAUCACCCAGCUGAGUAACCUCCACAAUUUCAGGCCGAACACGGAACUGCUGAUUUGAACUCUGCCUGAAUUUCUUGGCCCACAGAACAAUAAGAUAUAAUUAAAAGGCAUGACUUACGCCACUAUGUUUUGUAAUUUGUUUGACAACAAAAGAUAACAAAUAGUGAAAACUGUAGCUUCUACAUAAAGAUAUACAUGGAUAUUUUCUUCUUUUUUUUUUCUAUUUUAAUUGGUUUUAGAGCUGGGGUCUCACUCAGUGUCUAGAGUGCAGCAAAGUAAUCACAGCUUACUGGAGCCUCGAACUCCUGGGCUCAAACAAUCCUCCCACUUCAGCCUCCUGAGUAGCUGAGACUGUAGUCGUAAGCCACCGUGCCUGCCUGACAGCUUCUCUUUUACAAAAAUUCAUGAAAAACUGUCAUCUCCUGCCCCCCCAACCCUUGAUUCCUCUCCCUGAUAGGAACCAACUUUCAAUUCUUUUGGCUCUUUCUUCUGGUUUUGAUUUCCACGUUUUUAAAAAUAAAUAUAUAUGUGUUCAUAAUGUUAUUACUUGA
rnacentral:lncRNA from 13 species